CAGUAGCCGCGGUAAUACGUAGGGUGCGAGCGUUAAUCAGAAUUACUGGGCGUAAAGCGUGCGCAGGCGGUUGUGUAAGACAGGUGUGAAAUCCCCGGGCUUAACCUGGGACUGCGCUUGUGACUGCACAGCUAGAGUAUGGCAGAGGGGAGUGGAAUUCCACGUGUAGCAGUGAAAUGCGUAGAGAUGUGGAGGAACACCGAUGGCGAAGGCAGCCCCCUGGGCCAAUACUGACGCUCAUGCACGAAAGCGUGGGGAGCAAACAGGAUUAGAUACCCCUGUAGUCCCUGUCUCUUAUACA
rnacentral:rRNA from 1 species